CAACUUUUGACAAUGGAUCUCUUGGUUCUCGCAACGAUGAAGAACGCAGCAAAAUGCGAUAAGUAAUGUGAAUUGCAGAAUACGUGAAUCAUCGAAUCUUCGAACGCAUAUUGCACUUUUUUGGUUUACCAAAAAAGUAUGUCUGUUUGAGUAUCAGUA
rnacentral:rRNA from 1 species